GAUUGGUCCUGGUAGACAUUCAGAUGCCGCGCCUGGGCUCUCUCUCACCCACACUCAGCCUUUCCCCCUUACUAUGGGCUUUUACAUAUGUCCGAGACCAUUGUGAUCGAGCAUCUGCUGAGUUUGCCAUCUGGAUCAGAGUGCUUAGUCCCCACUAGGAGAGGAGUGGAGACACAAUCGAGGCCCCGCUUCUUCCUGGGACAGGAGGGCAUCAAACAAUGGCCGCAAAUUUUAAUGACAUUGUGAAACAGGGAUAUGUAAGGAUUCAGAGCAGACACUUUCGGAUCUACCAGAGAUGCUGGCUGGUGUUAAGGAGAGCAUCCAGCAAAGGCCCAAGACGGCUGGAGAAGUUCCUGGAUGAACGAGCAGCACGCUUCCACUGCUAUCACAAGGUAACAGAGCUGAAUAAUGUGAAGCAUGUUGAAAGAGUUCCAAAGGGAACAAAGAAGCAUGCAGUUAUUGUGACGUUCAAGGACAACUCAUCAAAAACGUUUGCUUGUGAGUCAGAGCUGGAAGCCAAUGAAUGGUGCAAAGCUCUGUACACAGAGUGUUUUGAGAGUAAGAUGAAUGACUUUAACUUAGUGGAGCCCGACUUGUUGGCCACUGGAGUAUAUAGAGGUGGAAGCGGGGAAUUCCACGUGUUUUUAAUGCCUAGUCGAAACCUGGAUUUCCACGGGGAGUGCGUCCUUCAGAUCACCGCAGAGACCAUCUCCCUGUGGGAUGUGUUUGAGCCCCACCUCAAGAUAGUAUCUUGGCCUCUGACUGGCCUCCGUCGUUAUGGCCAGGGACAGACGUGGUUUUCCAUCGAGGCCGGCAGGAUGUGCGAAACAGGCGAGGGCCUCUUCACCUUCCAGACCCGGGAGGGAGAGGCGAUAUACAGCAGGCUGCAUGCCGCGGUGCUGGCCGCCGCCGAACAGUGCGACUGGCUGAGCACCAUGCCUGCAGGCGAAGGGAUCUCGGGUGAGGCUGUCUCAGCGCCUGUGAACCUGGCUAAGUUUCUGCCGCUGAGCAAAUUCUGGCCGCGAGUCACUCGGCAGAGCAACAUGCGGCCAGCGGGGCACUUCAAUGUCAGCUAACACUAAUUCGGGAUAUCAGUACUGAAUAACAAUAUCACAUCCUCAGGUAAUACAAAAACCAUUUAACUUGCUAAAAGCCCGUUCCCUUUCGAGCUUUUGAUAUAAAGAGAACCCACAGCUGCAGAAAUGGACAAAUGGAAGCGCAAAGUUGGAAGAGGCUCACUGAUGGACCGCAACACUGAUGAAAAAUGUGGAUUAAAGCUGCCAAAACUUCACUGUCUUUAGCUUUCCAGUAUCACUGUUAUAUUCCCUGCUAAUUUUAUUAAGACCCCAGUAAGAGAGCUCUAUUCUUUUAUAAGGACAUGGACAUGAAGGUAGUUUUUACCCAUCAUUUGAAAAAAAGAAAACAAAAAUGACAUCCUAUUUUUAACUUUUGCUUUAUUUUUUGUUGGUUAUUUUGUUUCCUUUUAAACUGAUGCAGGUGACUUGCACUAUUUAUUUUCAUGUUUUAGAAAAAGGGAAGCACUAUGACUCGGGACUGUAUGCAUAUAUACUAACUGAUAAACAAAAUGAGAAGAAAAGCAAAUUAUGUUAUUCAAGCAGACUAUGUACAGUUGAGAGUCCUGGACCUACUUAAAAAAAAGAAAAAAAAAUCAUAGAUAAAAUGAAAAAAAGUAGUUGUUUCCUUUACAUUAGAUAAAUUAUGUUAGAAUUUUCCUCUGGGUAAUGUGAACUGAAUUGAAUGUAAUUGCCUUAUUGUCUCUCCUAAUGAGUGGAACUGAAAUCAUAUGUUUGACUGACUAAAAGAGAUAUUAUCAAGAAAUACAAAUCACACUGUCCCUGAGACUUAUACAUGUAUUUUUGUAAUGAAUUAUUUGUUUUAAUGCAAAUUUUUUUAUGUGCAAUACCUUGUUGCAAAAUUAUAUAUUGCAAUCCUAUAAUAAUCAAUUUGGCCAGCACAAGGUCUUAAAUUAUGUUUGUUUGACUAAAAGAUUAGUCAUUACUCUUUAAAAAAAAUGGUAACACUAUACUUGACAGGGUACAACUGAUACAGUAGUACACUAUUACUUAUGUAUUAAUUAACCAUAAACUAAGUCUUAGUUACAUACUGAUCUCGUGUUAAUUCAUCAUUAAUGAAUCAUGAUGCAUGUUGUGUCUUAAACAACUAUAUUUGUUACUAUAUCUGUUAAUUCUGUAAACCUGUAAACUACUCAAACAACAACUCAUGAACACAAGUUAAAUACCAAUCUCAUAUUUGUUAAUGAAUUAAUUAAUCAUGAUGCAUCUUUCAUACUAAGCAGUUACUAUAUUUACUAUUUCUGUUAAUUCUGUAAACCUGUGAACUACUGAAGGAACCACUGAAGUAACAAGCAGAAAUGCACCGAUUGCAAUUUUCUUAGCUGAUUCGAAUUUCCGAUUUUUACCGACUCCAGUUGUCAUUCUAGAACUAUAAUUGCCAGCAUAUACAAACAAAAAUCAACUUUUCUUCAAUGCAAAAUUUUAUUUUCAUAAUAGAAAAUAAAAAUGUUAAACUUUACCCAAACUGCACUAAGUUACUGUACAGGAUCUUUUCUCACUUAACUGUCAAAAUGAAGUGCUCUGUGACCUGAAAGAGGUACAAAUAACAAUUAACUGAAAAUGAGCUUCUGUGCUCCCAACUUUAUCUGACAUAAGAGUAGGUGCAACAGAUUUAAAUAACAAAUGUCAUUUUCCAGUAUGUUUAAAUUCACUAGAUAACACGAAACUGACCUUUUUCUCUUUUUUCACUCGACUUAAAAAAGCACACAGUUGUAUUUGAAGGUUUGUAACCUAAGUGUAAUAUUCUACUCCAAAAAACAGGUGCAGAGUAAUAUUAUUAAUACCAGCGUCGCAUGUUACGCACAAACAGUUCUCACAUCGUUAGUAAGCUAGAUUAAGAUCAGGGUUUUUCAUACCUUCACACUGCACGGGCAUUAUAGCGCAGGCGGUUAAAGUUUCACCAAAAAAAAAUUACUCUGUCAUAGGAAAAAAAUCCUUAGUUGGCUUUGCAAUGUUAAUGGUUAUUUAUCUUCAAGAUUAUCUAGUAAAUGUUUGAUAAUCAGUUUAAAGUUUACCUCGGAUGUCACCGGGUUUUCGUGAUUGUUCCUCGGCGGUUUACUUUGCGCUUUACAUAUUUUACAAACUGCAGUCUUAGUGUCAUCUUCAGUCACAGUGACCGAUCGACUUCCACACUCACGACGCGUCGCGUGUGACGUGUGCUGCAUGUGUAAAAUGGACCGGUUCGGUAUUGGGAAUAUAUGAGACUGACCGGCUGGUCUCUGGUCCGGGCGAAGCACGCUAAAAAUGGGCCGAUUUCGGUCCCUGGCCGAUCUGUAGUAACAAGUGAUGAAUAACACAAGUGAGAUACUAAUGUCAUAUUUACUCAUUAUUAAUGAAUCGUGAUGUAUCUUUUAUCUGAAAUAGCAACUAUAUUUGUUCAUAAUUUGUACUUCAGUAGUAACAGAAUUAUUGCUAAGUAUUUUGGUCCUGUCAAGUAAAUUGUUACCAAAAAAGAGAAAAAAAAUGACCUUAUAUGUUUCGUAAGCACAUGGUUUAUAAUUCUCUUGUACUGUUUUGAACUAUUGCAGUACAAAACAUAUCUGAUUGCAAAUUAUCCCUUCAUUAUCCGAAAUCUACCUAAUCUCUGAUAAGUACAGCAGCUGUAUCUGUACCAAUAAAUCUCCUGGCUCACUGCUCAGCUCUGCAA